GGGGAUUUAGCUCAAUGGUAGAGCGCUUGCCUAGCAAACGCAAGGCCCUGGGUUCAGUCCCCA
rnacentral:tRNA from 1 species